CCUACGGGUGGCAGCAGUGGGGAAUUUUGCACAAUGGGCGCAAGCCUGAUCCAGCUAUUCCGCGUGUGUGAUGAAGGCCCUCGGGUUGUAAACCACUUUUGUAGAGGACGAAAAUACACCUGCUAAUAAACUUUGUUGCUGACGGUACCCUAAGAAUAAGCACCGGCUAACUACGUGCCAGCAGCCGCGGUAAUACGUAGGGUGCAAGCGUUAAUCGGAAUUACUGGGCGUAAAGCGUGCGCAGGCGGUUGAGUAAGACAGAUGUGAAAUCCCCGGGCUUAACUCGGGAAUGGCAUCUGUGACUGGUCAACUAGAGUGUGGGAGAGGGAGGUGGAAGUCCACGUGUAGCGGUGAAAUGCGUAGAGAUGUGGAGGAAUACCGGUGGCGAAGGCAGCCCCCUGGAACAUAACUGACGCUCAGGUGCGAAAGCGUGGGGAGCAAACAGGAUUAGAUACCCCAGUAGUC
rnacentral:rRNA from 1 species